rnacentral:lncRNA from 10 species
UAGCUCAUCAUGCUGACCAUUUAUCUCCCAGGUUUUGGAAAAAGCAUUGAUGUUGACUGCUAGUUGACAAAGGGGAAGAAAUAGGUUCUUCAGGUGGCAGCAAUCAAGAAAACAAAGGCUUCCCAAAGUCACACAUGCAACCGGGCACUAUCAGGGCUGUCAGAGUUUCCAAGGACAGGGAGAGGGAGGCAGAUCCCAUGAAAUGAGGCUGGACAGGAAGUCCUCCCAACGAGGUUAUCAGGCAAAUCAAGAAGAGUGGGAAGUGCCCGAAGACAGGAGGCUGCCUGCCAGCGACUCCACGGGCUCAGGCUGUUUGUAGUUCAUGUGCAUAAUUUUUAAAGAUAGACAUAAGACAUACCCCUGAAGAUGAGUACAAGAGAGAAAGACAGGGCUCUGAAAAUACUGCCAUAGGCUCAAGUUCCAAAGUGCUGGAGUUACAAAAGUAUAAAGGACAACGCAAAGGACUUUUUAGCCAAAGAAGAACCAGAAAGGUUCUGAGCACUGAUUUCAUCAAGCCGAUGGAGGCAACAACAUAUUCCUUAGGGAAAAUUAAGAUGCACAGUAUGCUUCAAGAUGAUGGCCAAGAACAACCAACUCAACGAGCCUUCAGGAAUUCAUGAUUUGAAUAUCAUGUUCAAGGCUGCCUUCUAGAUAAAGAUCAAACCAAGAAAGUCCAUGUGUCACUGCUCCGUGAAGGCUCCGGGUGGAACUCCCUGCCCCACUCCACCUUUAAGAUUUCCAGCACAGUGUCUUCACCUCCUUCAGCGCCCCUGUUUACAUGUCCAUCUCUCUCUUUAGAAGCUACAGACAUCAGCAAACUCGAGAAAAGAAGGUUUGCUCUGGGAGAUUCUACAUGUGACCUGUUUAUAUGUAAUUAUAUUAUCUAUUACUCAAGUAUUUGUCUUGUGCUGUCUAAAUUAUAAGCUUCUCAACUGUUUGCCUUGAGUGAGAUGUGCACGCUAAAGCCUCUCAAUAAAUAUUAAUUGAAUGAAUAAUUGAAAAAAACC